AUUUGUUUCUCAAACUCGCUUCGUAUACACCUGCAGGUAUAAAUUUGUAGGUUGACAUCGAAAUUCAUUCGUCCGGAGAUUUUACACGGAGCACGAAGAACGUUUCAUACACGACUACAGCAGAAGUUUUCGCUCAUCAUCAUCUAGCAACCCUAGUCUAGGAUGGGAAACGAGAGGGUGAUAUUAGUAGUAGCUGUGAGUGCAGCGAUUGCUGUGGGCAUCGGAGCCGGCGUGCUGAUCGGCUGGUACUCGGGUCCCGACCGAGUGACGGAUUCAUACGAGAAUGCCCGAAGGGAGGCCGACGAAGGUAUCUCGAGUGACCUGAUGAUUGAAAUGAACGUGCAGUUCGCCACGGAUGUGUUAUGGGAUCUGACCAGAGACCCGCAUGUUGCCGGUACGAAGGAGAACAAGAAGCUGGCCGACGAUAUCCAGACGAAUUGGACCAACUAUGGAUUCGAUGCUAAGAUAUAUGCUUACGACGUCUUGCUCUCUUUCCCAUCAGAGGUGGAAGGAGAAGAUAAUGCGAUCCGGAUAUUGAACGGAAGUGACGUCUACUUCCAGAGUCAGUUGAAAGAGGAACCUUUAGACGACCUAUCUAGGGAGAAGGAAGAUCUUAUUCUUCCUCCUUUCAACGCCUACUCCGCCUCCGGUAUUCUCUUGGGCGAUCUUGUUUAUGUAAACUACGCUGAACUUGCGGACUUUGAAGCUCUGGAAGGCCUCGCUUCACCCAUCAAUCUUACCGGUAAGAUUGCUAUUGCAAGAUAUGGCAAGAUUUACAGAGGAGAUAAGGCCAAAUUCGCUGCACAGUUUGGUGCUGCGGGUCUGAUCCUGUACUCCGACCCCAAAGAUUAUGCAGUCGAAGGAGGGGAGACCUACCCCAAUGGGUUGUACCUACCAGGCACUGGGACCCAGAGGGGUAGUUGUCUCGAUGGCAACGGCGACCCCCUCACUCGAAACUACCCCGCAGUCGAGAGUGCUUACCGUUUGCCUGUAAAUGAGUCUACUAUGCUUCCAACUAUCCCGAUUCAUCCUAUUGGUUACAAUGAUGCCAAAAUAUUGCUUGAGAAAAUGGCUGGUGAAACGGUUGAUGAUUCUUGGGCGGGAAGUCUAGAUUUGACGUACAAAUAUGGACCGGGAUUUGCUGGUGAAUUUGCAGAUAUGCAGGUGGAAAUGAGUAUUUACACCAAAAACGAGAUGGCAACUGGAUGGGACGUGAUUGGAGUACUCAGAGGAAGUGUUGAACCAGAUCGAUACGUCCUGAUUGGUAAUCAUCGUGAUGCCUGGGGGUUCGGCGCCAUUGAUGCAGGCAGUGGUACAGCGGCCAUGCUCGAGCUCAGCAGGGCUAUGAGCGUAAUGGUGGAGAAAGGUUGGAAACCACGUCGUAGUAUCAUGUUCUGCAGCUGGGGUGCCGAGGAGCAAGGUCUUAUUGGAUCUACAGAAUGGGUUGAGGAAUUCGCUAAAAAUCUGGGUAUACGAGCCGUUGCAUAUCUCAACCUGGAUGUUUCCAUGGAUGGUACAUAUGUUCCUUCUAUAUCAGCAACGCCGAAUCUGAAUAGACUUAUUUAUGAAGCAACAAAGAAGAUCGCCGACCCUGCAGGCAGUUCGAUGACUAUGUAUGAUCUCUGGAAAGAUCGCGGGUCAACGGGCCCUGAUGGCGAACCGAGCAUUGGUACUCUUGGAUCCGGAUCGGACUAUGCACCAUUCUUACAGCUGGCAGGCAUAUCCGCGAUGGAUUUCACUUACACAUUCGAUAGGGUAGCGACGCCUGUUGCGUCCUACCCGUGCUACCACUCCGUAUACGAGACGUACGAGCUCGUCAAGAAUUUCUACGACUUCAAAUACAUCCUGGCGGCCGGCCAGCUUUACGGGGAGAUUCUCCGGCAGCUGGCGGAUAACGUCAUACUUCCCAUGGACCCGGCAGAUUACGCAGACACGGUCAAUGGUUACUGGGUGAGCCUCCGGGAUGGAACUAUCGGUGAACAGAUGGCAGAUUAUGGCAUCGAUUUUAAGUACAUGAAUACUGCAGUGGCAAACUUCACAGCCGCUGCCACAGAUUUCAAAGCACGCCUUGAGGAGGUUAACAGAAACGAUAUUUUAGCUGUACGUCGGAUGAACGAUCAGUUGAUGUAUCUGGAGCGGUCAUUCAUUGAUCCUAUGGGGCUCACAGGCAGACCCACAACCAAACACGUCGUCUUUGCACCCAGCAGUGCGAAUGCGUACGCAGGCGAGAAAUUCGCUGGAAUCGUCGACGCCAUGUAUAACAUUCAACCCAACGACGUCGAGCAGUGGAAUCUCGUCAAAAAGGAACUCUCCAUUGUGACAUACUUCGUCCAGUCAGCGGCCAACUCAUUAAAACCGGUUGCAUAACAAGGAUUCUACAUGCAGCUGUACGUACUCACAGUUAUUCGUCUUGGUCGGCGGCCAACUCGUUAGAACCUACUGCGUCAUGAGGACAAUAAUACAAUUUCAACAAUCCAUGACGUCACUGUCAUUACGUCUCUCCAGGGCCCCGUCUUCAAAAGAGUUGAUAUCAAUUGCAACUAUGUAUAUAAGAGAUAGGUGACUGCAAACUUGCGAUUGAUGUCAGGACUUGCUAUUGAUUGGGAUCAAUCGAAACUCUUUAUAAGACAGGGCCCAGAAUUACUGUCUCGCUGCCCGUUACACACGAAGCGUCAUUCACUGACGCAUGACUGAGUUAUUAACUUGUGCACACGUUGCGUCGUCAUAGGCUUGGUAAGCGCAAGUAAUGAUGCAAUCGAAAUGACUCCUCGUGUGCAACGGGAGUAAGAUCUGCAAGUGUUGUUUGACUCGAUAAAGCCAUAUGGCAAGUUAAAGUAUUUGGAAUUUUGAGUCGUUGAAAUCACCAUGAUUAAUGUGGAUCUAAAUCGAUUUUUGAUGAAUAAAUAAUAAAUAGAUAAACAGAUAAAUGAAAAGAAAAAUUAAAAUCUUCAAUAAAAUAAAUGAUGAUAAAUUUCAACGAAGACGCUUUAUAUUGCAGUAAUUGUAUUACAUUUGGUUAUAGUUGCAACAGGAGUGAUUUCAUCAUAUUGAACAUGUUCAAUUUGAACCGUACCAGGGUAACCCAUUCCUUCGAAGAGUGUUCAAGUUACUAUGAAGAAAACGAAUUUGCUGUAAUGUAAUAUUCAAAUUUAUGAAUGUUUCUUUCCUGGGUACCUAGUGACGAGUUAUUCCAUGAACCUCUUAUUAACGAAUGAACUACAAAACUUGGAAUUCAGUCUGCAAACAGUACAUGUUACUAUGUCGGACAAGCCUUGGGCAAGCUUUCAGGUUGUCAAGAACAACCUUUGUUUAAUAAGUAUGCAUACAAUUUGAAUAGGUUAGUAAACCGGUCUGUUUGGAUGAUAACUGGGGUAUGUUGGAAUACAGUAGAUAUGUAAAUUGUCUGUUGUAUUUUAGAAUUCAUUAGAUACGUAAAUUACCUGUUGUAUUUUAGAAUUCAUUUAAUAUGUAAUUUACCUGUUGUAUUUUAGAAUUCAUUAAAUACGUAAAUUACCUGUUGUAUUUUAAAAUUUAUUAGAUUUCUAAUUUACCCGUUGUAUUUUAGAAUCAUUAGAUAUGUAAAUUACCUGUUGUAUUUUCUAAUUCAUUAGGUAUGUAAAUCGUCUGUUAUAUCUUAAAACUCAUUCUUUAACUAUUUCAUUUCUUUUUUUAUUUCUCUACCCUCUCUGUCCAUGUUAGGACAGGUUCUGUCUCCUCGUUUAUAAAUAUAUUAUCAAUUAUCAUUGUGUUAUUGUAAUUUUUUUCGCAAUUCGGCUUUGCCGCAAUGAAAGUAUUUUAACAAACCAUUUUGACUUGAAAGUAAUGUUAAUAUUCUGAAUACGCCAAGUCACACCAACGAGACGGAUACGAGA
rnacentral:lncRNA from 15 species